rnacentral:rRNA from 1 species
GAUGAACGCUAGCUACAGGCUUAACACAUGCAAGUCGAGGGACCGGCGCACGGGUGAGAAAUACGUAACCAACCUGACCUUUAAGGGGGGAUAGCCUCACGAAAGAAAGAUUAAUACCCGAUGUAAAGGAGGGGGUUGCGUUCCAUUAGGUGGUUGGUGAGGUAACGGCUAACCAAGCCUUCGAUGGAUAGGGGUUCUGAAAGGAAGGUCCCCCACAUUUGAACUGAGACACGGUCCAAACUCGUACGGGAGGCAGCAGUGAUGAAUAUUGUUCAAUGGGCGUUAGCCUGAACCAGCCAAGUAGCGUGAAGGAUGAAGGCUUAUGGGUCGUAAACUUCUUUUAGAUAAGAAUAUGUAUUAUAUGAAUAAGGAUCGGCUAACUCCGUGCCAGCAGCCGCGGUAAUAC